rnacentral:rRNA from 1 species
GACGAACGCUGGCGGCGUGCCUAAUACAUGCAAGUCGAACGCAUUUUCUUUCACCGUAGCUUGCUACACCGAAAGAAAAUGAGUGGCGAACGGGUGAGUAACACGUGGGUAACCUGCCCAUCAGCGGGGGAUAACACUUGGAAACAGGUGCUAAUACCGCAUAAUUCCAUUUACCGCAUGGUAGAUGGAUGAAAGGCGCUUUUGCGUCACUGAUGGAUGGACCCGCGGUGCAUUAGCUAGUUGGUGGGGUAACGGCCUACCAAGGCUGCGAUGCAUAGCCGACCUGAGAGGGUGGUCGGCCACACUGGGACUGAGACACGGCCCAGACUCCUACGGGAGGCAGCAGUAGGGAAUCUUCGGCAAUGGACGCAAGUCUGACCGAGCAACGCCGCGUGAGUGAAGAAGGUUUUCGGAUCGUAAAACUCUGUUGUUAGAGAAGAACAAGGAUGAGAGUGGAAAGUUCAUCCCUUGACGGUAUCUAACCAGAAAGCCACGGCUAACUACGUG